GAGUGCCCCGGUCACACCUGCGCUCACUACACCUCCAUCACACUGACGCUUCAUCCCUCCUGCCCGGCCUGCGCUGUCGCUCUGCAGGGGAGGAGAGACAGAAAGACCGAGACAGCCUACAUCUCUGUAUUUUACACAAGAGGGUGAUCAUCUUAUCCUGCUGACAACAAAGUGUAAGAGAGCUGUGGUGUCAUUUGGUCAUGGCAGGGAAUGCGUUAAUCUUCAUCCUCUUAUCAGGGCUGGGCAGCCUCCCCUCCUGUUUUCCUCGUCAGUACCACUUGGUUGAAGAACGAAUGACCUGGACUGAAGCGCAGAGCUACUGCAGGCAGCACUACACAGACCUGGCCACCGUAACCAG